UGCUGUAACACACCAUUUUAUCAGAUUCUUCUUAGUAUUUAUUCAGAACUGUAACCACUUCCUUCUGAGUUGAACCUUCACCUGCCAGGACCAUGUUCUCAUUCCCAGCAGAAACCAAACACACUCCAGCUGAUAACAGUAUUAUUGGCUGAGGGCAGAUAUGACUUUAACCCAGAGACCUCUGGACGCUCGGGUGGGGGGAGGUCUGUUAGAGGUUAAAACUCGGUUGUACAAACAUACAACCCCUCUACACACACAAACCCUCAGAAACACACACACAGACAGAAUAGCGACAGUAGGUGUGCGUUUGACGCGACUAACAGAUGUUGCUGCCUGGUUCCAGCUGUUCCCUACCUGGCUCCUCAGAAAACAAAUGCCAACUAAUUUUUGUCUCACUGAGUCUAUUCAUUGACACUACUAUAAAGAUUGUAAGUAAAAUUAAUCCAAGUACUAUAUUUAUUUGAAUACUGAUUAUUCACUAUAAUAGAGGACUGUAUCUGAUCUAUGAUGAUUGAUUACUGACAUCUCCUUUUAUUUCUUACCAGGUUUCUUCUGUUUCCAGGUCACAUGAGUAUCCGUGUUCAUUUCAUCAUGUGUACAGUUUCUGUUUGCAGCACUUGUGUGUUUUUAAGUGUCAGUGUACAGUAGUCUGCUUGGACAAAGACAGCCCGUCGGUCUUAUUGAAUCUGGUGCAGAUCAGCAACGUGACCACCUGUGUCUCUUAUCAUGUUACUCGGCGUGCAUGUGAACACAUGAACACAUUAUUCUUUAUGCAAGAAUCUAGGUCAGUGUUGCAACCAGGAGUACAGCAGGGCAGGAGUGAAAUCCUGACAUGAGGUGAAACUUACCCAAAUGGUCACAGCAUUACAGUUGCCAGUGUUUACAACUUUUUGUUACAUUAUUGAAAUUGCUCUUUCCCCACUGACAGCUUCAGUUGCAUCUCCAGCUGUCCAAUCUGUCUUUGAAUUUCCUCUUUAUGUUUUGUUCCUUUUCUCCUUACGUACUAAGGAUUUGUCUGAGAGUUCUCUUGUUUUCCUAGAGAGCUUGAGCUGGGUCAGGAACCACAGCUUUGGAGUAAGCCCUCUAAAGCCCAUUGAGAAAUUACAUGUGAUAUCGGGCUUUACAAAUGAACUUGACUUGACUUGUCAUCGUCAGAACAGUUAUGAUGAGAAGCUGUUUUCCCUCUAGACCUGGUUGAAUAAUACAUGCCUUUAUUAAAGGCUGUCAGUGACACUGUUAUCUUUAGCCUGAAGCUGCUGACAGUAGAUUUUUUUGCAGCAGUAGUAGCAUAAAACUCAAUGAAAAAGUUAAUGUUUCCCUUAGGAUUUGAUUACUGGUAGAAAGAAAAAAAUGGGAUGAGGCACUAAAACUCUUCAUAGACAAAAAAAAUACAUGAUUUGUAAUGUUGGCUAUUUUCAUAAUGUGCAGCACAAAAGAGAAAGACUAUACUGCAAUAAAUAUCAUUAUGAUAUACAUUUCUUAUAACCCUUUUUAUGACAGUAUGAUUACUGGUAUAAUCUGUCAGCUCCGCUUUGGCCUCCACCAACUCCAGAGGAAAAUAUGUGGCGCUGACACUGCAAAAUGCUCCACUAUGUUCAUCGGCUAGUCGCUUACUUUGUCAUUUGGUGUUUUAUUACAUUUUAACAUAUCUGUAUCAUGGAAUGAAAACCUGACAUGACACUCAAAAUGGUGAGCAUUACCUUGGCCAUUAACGCUGGAGUGGUUGUGUGCUCUUUAGCUCUACCUUAUUCCUCUCACACAAAGUCUUCACACAUUUUGCCUCUUGGCCUCAGUUGCUCUGACAGCCUCACUUCUUCUGGAAAGCCUUUUACAAGAGCGUAAUAUAACCCAUCAGUAAAUUUCAAGCUCAGCGCUGGAAACUACCUCUAUGAAGAUUAAUUCACAUGCCAAGAUGUUUGACAAGGAAUUAAUGCGGAGCCCAAUGAGUGGCUAUAACACUCGGCAAUGAAUGACUUCAUACAUGUCUCCAGAAAUGAAAAAAAAAAAGAAAACGUUAUUUCAAGUUUAUCUAGCACUCCUCUAAUAAACAGCAGCAGAGGAAAAGGGCUUUAAUUGGAAGUUCUGGCCCAGUUGAGGGCGCUGGGAAGCAGCAAAACGUGCCGCUGUGUAAACACACAGUGACAGAUUUGCCACUUUAUCAGCAGAGAGAUCUCAAACCUCUCAUUUCCUCUGGAGAUCAGGAGUCCCUGAGGAUUUCAUUGUGGAUAUGAGACGAGGAGGGUAUGAUGUGCUCUCCCAUCAAUAUUAUUUCAGCGAUAUAUGGUUGUGAAUGCCUCCAGCUGGAAUUCACUAAACUCCCCCAAACAGCGACAGUCCAAUCAUACUAGGCAUGGUUGGCCAGUCAAGCUUUGGAUUUCUCCACAUGUUAAAGCGGUGUGCACAGGGCUCUGAACUGAGCGAUACCUGGCAUUUAAAGACUUAAGAGGAUGGCGUCUUUUUUAAUCUUUCCAAAAGCAAAAAAGACAAGAAUGGAUAAAACUGUGUGUAAUCCCCUCUAAUGAAAGAUGCAAUUCUUAGCAUGUCUAAUAUGCUAAUGAGCACAAUGGUGGCUCCGUCCUGCCCUUUUUAAAUUUAGGGAUAUUUUAAGCAACGCCAGCAAUGUUUCCCAAAACAGUGUUAGAUUUCCCAUAUACAGUUUAGUUCAGUUUAUCUGUUAUCAGUCCUCAUCCUAAAGGCUUUUUUUCUUGUAUCGUAGUGUCACAUACUGUUUGAAAAAACAAGCAAGCAUGCAAGCAGCCAAACAAGAAUAUAUUAGAUCAGCUGGGUAGGUCUCUAUUCACUAUUACAAUCAUUAAAAAGCAAAAACAGUAGGGUUAGCUAGUGUUAGCUAACUAACAUUACAUUAGGAACAAUACACAGCCAACAUUUUUCUGGAUUUGUUUUAGGUUUUCAAAAAAGAGAAUAAACCUAACUUGUGAUUGUAAUUAUGACAAGUGCCCCAGGAACAGUGUUUGACCAUAUCUUAAAAAUACAGCAAAAAGCUAGAAAAUGACACCUUUCGCAUACGAGUCAAUGGAGCGCAGCCAUGAAAGUGUCGGACCACAGUUAAAGCGAGUCCUAUACUGCAAUGUGAUUGGCCAGCUGCAUGUUCGGGGCGUGGCUAAGAAAAGGGUCAAUUACAGAAGCAAGCGUCAUUGGAAGGUUGUUGGUUCAGUAGUUAGUUGUUACAGUUAUCAUUGUUCAUUCUAUCUUGUGACUUGCUUUCAAUAAAUGGGGUUCAGAAGUUUCCAAAACAUUGUCUCUUGGAAAUGAAUUUACAUAAGGUCUGGCCCUGGGUAAAUAAGUGAUGUUUUGUACCAAAAUGACACACACCAAGGAAUGAGAGAGGCAGAUUGUGAUUUUGGUCCCAAAUCAUAAAUGCUUUGGUCCUACUGACUCACCGUCUGUAAUUAUAUUCAUUAUCGCCAUCAGUUAGUUAUAACAUGCCAAAUUUCUCAUUGUCAUGCCUGGUUUCUGGUUUAAGCUUGUACUCAAUUUUAUGAACUUAUAUUGCCAGUGGGAGUGAAACUAGCCUUGUUUUUGUAACAGUUUAAAAUCUUAAAUAAAGGUGGAAGAAGGCAGGUUUCUGUCUCAUGCGACUCAAGAAGCAUGAUUUAUGAAUGAGUGAAUAGGAUUACAAAAAAAUAAAGAAGCAAAAUCCUCUUUCCUUUGUAACAUCCACUUCUCUGUUUAGUUUGGAUUUCAGGCCAUUCUGACUGUUUGUUUAUGUUGAGUCACCUUUUGAAAUUAGAGAUUAUUAAGGUUAGUUCCACUAGCUACAGUAACAACAGAUGUGUGUGUGUGUGUGUGUGUGUGUGUGUGUGUGUGUGUGAGAGAGAGAGAGUGUUGCUGUGUGUGUCCAACAUCUCUCAAUGGUGGAAUGCACCAUUGAGAGAUGUGUGACUGUUGCCGGCUAAACUUCAUGGGAAACAACCAACGGCGUCCGCUGUUCACCUUGGAGAAAGUCCCGCGUGGCGCUCACCAAAAAAAAACCAAACCCCUGAAUGGCUCCACACAAGCCCAAGUUUGAGAUUGAUCAUUCAAAUAAACAUGAGUUUGUUUA